CCCUCCCCUCCCCUCCCCUCUCCCCUCCCCAGCUCUUGCACAAACGCGACCCGGACCGCUAAGUGCGUGCCACAGGUCACGAAAAAUGGGAAAUAAAGUUUGAAGCUCCUGGAGCCGUCCUCCCCACCACCACCACCACCACCCGCUCCCCUGCUCGAGGGCUGCAGGGGGCACGACCCGCGCGCUCCUCCCUUCCCUCCAGGGUCGGCCUUCGUGGGAGCUGCCACGCGCUAGGCCUCUGCUGUGGAAUCUGGCUCAGCUGCUGCACCAGCUUCUGCAAGUGCGCGUGUCAGGACCGGGGCGGCGGGCAGAGCCGGUCCUGGCCUCCCGGGGCAGCCCCUCUGCAGGGCCGAGCCGGCCUCCAGGCGACACCUGCCUCCGCAAGGCGUCAAGGCUGCAGCAAGGAGGCCCGCGUGCGUGCGCUAGGGACGGCCUUCCCCUCCCUUGCAGGCCUCCUCUGGGGCCGCCGCCGUGCUCCUUUCCUACCAAAUACAGGUGCUCCUCCUUUCCUACCAGAUGCAAGUGCUCCUUUCCCACCAAAUACAAGUGCUCCUUUCCUACCAGAUGCAAGCGCCUUUCCUACCAGAUGCAACUGCUCCUUUCCUACCAAAUGAAAGUGCUCCUUUCCCACCAGAUGCAAGUGCUCCUUUCCCACCAGAUGCAAGCGCCUUUCCUAUCAGAUGCAAGUGCUCCUUUCCUACCAGAUACAAGUAUCACAAAAGAAUUGGAGUGAUUGAAGUUAUGAUAGACAUUGUUAAGGACCAUGAGAUUACCCCCAGAGAAGCUGACCACCCCACAGUUUCUUCCUUUGGUAUAGUGACCAAAUUCUCCAAACCAAAACUCAGGACACAUGGCUUGCCGCAUACUCAAGAACAAAGGGACAAACCCCAUGAAGCCCUUGAAUAAUAAGCAGCGAAAUGGCCAAAGGCAGACUAGGGGAGCAGAAAAGAAAGGCCGUGAACUAUGUGCAAAACUAAGACCAUGCCAAAAAAAAAAAAAAAAAAACAAAAACAAAAACAAAACCCACAACCCUUAAAUUUUAGAUUUUUUUUUCUAAAAAUCCAUUUUAGAUUUAUUCUCUCUAGAUAACUUCUGGAUGAUAUUUCUUAUUUCUAAACUUAUGCUAACUGCUGGAUGAUAUUUCUCUCCAGAUAACUUCUGGAUGAUAUUUCUGAUUUCUAAACUUAUGUUAAUGGCCUACUUGUGCUGAGCAAUCCCCUGCAAGGUGGUGGGGAGUAACAGCCGAGGAAAACUAGGCCACGAGGAAUUCAGUCUGGCAAGAGUCUAGCGAGCUGGGCAUUGCGUUACAGUGUGGCGUGGCGUGGUAGGGUAGGCCGAGCAAGUGCGGGCCAGGAGCCCCUAUGGCAAUACGGACAGGUUUUCCAGAAGAAGUCACAGCCUAGCAGAUUCUUGAAGGACAGCCAUCCCUGGUGUGUCGUUCCACUUUUCCUCUGGGAAAAUGAUCCAAUCAGAGAAAGACCGGUAGAGGCUCUCCACAGCACCUCGCCUUCGUCCUGCAGAGAUCAUCCAUGAAGCCUCAAGAACUUCAUGUUGGUGGUUCCUGUAGUUCAGGGCGGGAGAUCUUCCGCAGGCACUCACAGGUAAAAACGAGACCACUACCACAUAUCUGGACCAAGAAACCGUCGGUGCCCCCAGCCGAGACGGAGGCGAAUGCAGUCCUGGACUGGAGACGACGCUCAGUAAGCCGGUACUCUUCCGGGACCUGUCUGCACCUGCUCCCCAAAGGGGGCCAUCCCAGUAGAAGCUUCGCUGUUCCUCACCUUUCCACCACGUGGUCACUGCUUCAUUUCCAUGAGGAAUCCCUUCUUUCCAGCUUCACUUAAUCUCAUCGCCCUCCACCACUGCCCUCUUUCCAGGCCACCCUGCUCUACCCUCUUGACACCCACCAACCACCAAAUCUGUCCCUCACGUGGCAUUUCAAUUUCCUUGGCACCUCAAACUAAAGUAUUAGCUCAUUCCUUUAUUAUCCUUCGUAGUGAUAUAUUUAAACCCAAACUUAUUGCCCCCAAAUGACUUCAGGUCCCUCCAUUCCUAAAUGUUGUGAAGCUAAAAUGGUUUUACAUGGAAAACAUUUUAAACAAGUCACCGCAUUCAUUCUUCAGAGGUCUUUCAAGGCAUCCUAUCACGUCUCAGUGAAGGUCAUGUAAAGCCUCUCUCACUGGACUCUUAAUUCUAGGAAACAAACAGGGUGGCGGCGGGAGGGGAGGUAGGUAGGGGUGAUGGGGUUUUGGGGUGAGGGCCAUGAAGAAGGGCACGUGACGUAAGGAGCCUGGGUGUUGCGUGCAACUGAGGAAUCCCUAAAUUCCACCCCCGAAACUAAAAAUACGAUGUAUGUAUGUUAACUAAAUUGAAUUUAAAUUAAAAUUUAAAGAAAAUAAAUAAAAAGUAAAAAUAAAACCUCUCUCA
rnacentral:lncRNA from 1 species